UUUUCUACGAGUCGAGUUGUUUGGGAAUGCAGCUCAAAAUGGGUGGUAAAUUCCAUCUAAAGCUAAAUAUAGGCGAGAGACCGAUAGCGAACAAGUACCGUGAGGGAAAGAUGAAAAGCACUUUGGAAAGAGAGUUAAACAGUAUGUGAAAUUGUUGAAAGGGAAACGAUUGAAGUCAGUCAUGUCCAUUGGAUUCAGCUGGUUCUGCCAGUGUAUUUCCUUUGGACGGGUCAACAUCAGUUUGAGCCGACGGAUAAUGGCAGAGGGAAUGUGGCACCCCCGGGUGUGUUAUAGCCCUUUGUCGCAUACGUCGGCCCAGACUGAGGAAUGCAGCUCGCCUUUAUGGCCGGGGUUCGCCCACGUACGAGCUUAGGAUGUUGGCAUAAUGGC
rnacentral:rRNA from 1 species